AUUGAACGCUGGCGGCAGGCUUAACACAUGCAAGUCGAACGGUAACAGGAAGAAAGCUUGCUUUCUUCGCUGACGAGUGGCGGACGGGUGAGUAAUGCUUGGGAAUCUGUUUCAUGGAGGGGGAUAACUACGGGAAACUGUAGCUAAUACCGCGUAAUAUCGAGAGAUUAAAUGUGUGGGACCGUAAGGCCACAUGCCAUGAAGUGAGCCCAAGUGGGAUUAGAUAGUUGGUGAGGUAAUGGCUCACCAAGUCGGCGAUCUCUAGCUGGUCUGAGAGGAUGACCAGCCACACUGGGACUGAGACACGGCCCAGACUCCUACGGGAGGCAGCAGUGGGGAAUAUUGCACAAUGGGCGCAAGCCUGAUGCAGCCAUGCCGCGUGAAUGAAGAAGGCCUUCGGGUUGUAAAGUUCUUUCGGUGGUGAGGAAGGUUGACGUGUUAAUAGCACGUUGAUUUGACGUUAGCCACAGAAGAAGCACCGGCUAACUCCGUGCCAGCAGCCGCGGUAAUACGGAGGGUGCGAGCGUUAAUCGGAAUAACUGGGCGUAAAGGGCACGCAGGCGGUGACUUAAGUGAGGUGUGAAAGCCCUGGGCUUAACCUAGGAAUUGCAUUUCAUACUGGGUCGCUAGAGUAUUUUAGGGAGGGGUAGAAUUCCACGUGUAGCGGUGAAAUGCGUAGAGAUGUGGAGGAAUACCGAAGGCGAAGGCAGCCCCUUGGGAAUGUACUGACGCUCAUGUGCGAAAGCGUGGGGAGCAAACAGG
rnacentral:rRNA from 1 species